GUGCCAGCCGCCGCGGUAAUACGGAGGGGGUUAGCGUUGUUCGGAAUUACUGGGCGUAAAGCGCGCGUAGGCGGGUUGUUAAGUUAGAGGUGAAAUCCCGGGGCUCAACCCCGGAACUGCCUUUAAUACUGGCAACCUAGAGUUCGAGAGAGGUGAGUGGAAUUCCGAGUGUAGAGGUGAAAUUCGUAGAUAUUCGGAGGAACACCAGUGGCGAAGGCGGCUCACUGGCUCGAUACUGACGCUGAGGUACGAAAGUGUGGGGAGCAAACGGGAUUAGAUACCCCUGUAGUCCUGGCCGUAAACGAUGAACACUAGGUGUCGGGGGAAUCGACCCCCUCGGUGUCGUAGCCAACGCGUUAAGUGUUCCGCCUGGGGAGUACGCACGCAAGUGUGAAACUCAAAGGAAUUGACGGGGGCCCGCACAAGCGGUGGAGUAUGUGGUUUAAUUCGAUGCAACGCGAAGAACCUUACCAGGGCUUGACAUCCUGCGAACCUCUGGGAAACCGGAGGGUGCCUUCGGGAACGCAGUGACAGGUGGUGCAUGGCU
rnacentral:rRNA from 1 species